rnacentral:misc_RNA from 1 species
AAACAACGUCGCAUCCAACGGUGAUGUUGAAGAAGACAAGACAGAGUAAAUUAUAUCCCAAAAAAUGUAAUUUUGAGGUAGCCUUAAUCGUAUGAUUUAUGGCCUUGUUAUUGUUGUAGCAAUACUCCUCAUGCUCCUUGAAAUCUAAAUUGAGAACUUUUUAGGAGAAAAAUUUUAUGACGAGAAAGUUCACUUUGAGAUUGCAAUAGGAGAGAGCUCCUUUUCAGUUCUUAUUCAACAUCAC